rnacentral:lncRNA from 1 species
AGGUCUUAGGAAUUAAUAUGAGGCUGAUGGUUGUCCUUUGAGGUCCAUAUUUGGAGACAAAUGGCACUAUUCAUUGUCCAGUGUGAAUGAUGACACUGGAGAUGAAUGUGCUAUGUAUAAUAAUGACCAGCAUCUGUGAUUCAUGGAUUAGUUUGGCAAAACCGGUAAAUGUGGCAUGGAAACUUACAAGGUGAAGGAACAGCUUUGCCAGUCUUAUGGUUGUAUGGUAGAACUUCAGAGUAAUACAGAAGGAGUUUCUGAAGAUCUCUUUCCAUUGAGAGGGGAGAGGACAUGAAAAGAGAUGUUUCAACAUUUAUUGAUGGAAUGAAGGAAUUUUUUUUCCCUCAUUUCCCUGAAUUUGACAUACAUGGGGGAGUUCUGCAGAAGAUUUGGCAGAGGUGUUUUCAGGAAGUCAGACUGAAUGCAUUUGAAAGCAGUUUUGUAAGUUUAUCAACAAACAGGCAGAUGUUUUCUCUUUGGCUUCCAAUUUGGUGAGUACUUGCAUUUAAUUUUGGAAUCACAAAUGUAUAUAAAAAAAUUA